rnacentral:ncRNA from 1 species
GCCCCUGAGGUCGGACGAGGCUACCCGCUGAAUUUAAGCAUAUUACUAAGCGGAGGAAAAGAAACUAACGAGGAUUCCCUCAGUAACGGCGAGUGAAGCGGGACGAGCCCAGCGCCGAAUCCGGCCGCUUAUGGAGCGGACGGAAUUGUGGCGUAUGGAAUUCGCUUCGAGCGCGGACCGGCUGCCCACGUCCUUCUGAUCGAGGCUUCAUCCCAUAGCGGGUGUCAGGCCCUUGGCGGCGGCUGGCCCGGGCUCUCGGUG